GUCCCGCUUGGUGCUCCUCACCCGCCACCCGUGCGCCCAGUCUGCGAGGCCAGCCCAGUUCUCCCGGUCCGCACUGCCCGCCGGCCAGCCUGUCUGUCCCCCACUGCAACCAUGGAUGCCAUCAAGAAGAUGCAGAUGUUAAAACUGGACAAGGAGAAAGCCAUCAACCGCGCAGAGCAGGUCGAGGCCGACAAGAAGCAAGCUGAGGACCGCUGCAAGCAGCUGGAAGAGGAGCAGCAGGCCCUCCAGAAAAAGCUCAAAGGGCCGGAGGACGAGCUGGAAAAGUAUUCUGAGUCAGUGAAGGAUGCCCAUGAGAAGCUGGAGCAGGCUGAGAAGAAAGCCACUGACGCUGAGGCAGAUGUGGCCUCCCUGAACCGCCGCAUUCAGCUGGUAGAGGAGGAGCUGGACCGGGCGCAGGAGCGUCUGACUACAGCCCUGCAGGAGCUGGAGGAGGCUGAGAAGGCAGCUGAUGAGAGCAAGAGAGGAAUGAAGGUCAUCGAAAACCGAGCUAUGAAGGAUGAGGAGAAGAUGGAGCUGCAGGAGAUGCAGCUGAAGGAGGCCAAGCACAUCGCCGAGGAUUCGGACUGCAAAUAUGAGGAGGUGGCCAGGAAGCUGGUGAUCCUGGAAGGAGAGCUGGAGCGCUCUGAAGAGAGAGCUGAGGUGGCUGAGAGUAAAUGUGGGGACCUUGAGGAGGAGCUGAAAAUUGUUACCAACAACUUGAAAUCCCUGGAAGCCCAAGUGGAUAAGUAUUCCACCAAAGAAGAUAAAUAUGAAGAGGAGAUCAAACUGCUGGAGGAGAAGCUAAAGGAGGAUGAGACCCGAGCGGAGUUUGCUGAAAGGUUGGUGGCCAAGUUGGAGAAAACCAUCGAUGACCUGGAAGAGACCUUGGCCAGUGCCAAGGAGGAGAACGUGGAGAUCCACCAGACCCUCGACCAGACACUGCUGGAGCUCAACAACCUCUGAGGGUUAGCCCUGCCCCAGCCAGGCUAGCUGCCACCCCAAUAAACGGAUGUCACCAGGAAAAAAAAAAAAAAAAAUCUUACUCCAGCUUUCCAAGUUUUGUUGCACUUAAAGCAACUUAAAAUGAACAACUUGGAAAUAGGUAAA